AUUGAACGCUGGCGGCAGGCCUAACACAUGCAAGUCGAAUGGUAACAGGAAACAGCUUGCUGUUUCGCUGACGAGUGGCGGACGGGUGAGUAAUGUCUGGGAAACUGCCUGAUGGAGGGGGAUAACUACUGGAAACGGUAGCUAAUACCGCAUAACGUCGCAAGACCAAAGAGGGGGACCUUCGGGCCUCUUGCCAUCAGAUGUGCCCAGAUGGGAUUAGCUAGUAGGUGGGGUAACGGCUCACCUAGGCGACGAUCCCUAGCUGGUCUGAGAGGAUGACCAGCCACACUGGAACUGAGACACGGUCCAGACUCCUACGGGAGGCAGCAGUGGGGAAUAUUGCACAAUGGGCGCAAGCCUGAUGCAGCCAUGCCGCGUGUAUGAAGAAGGCCUUCGGGUUGUAAAGUACUUUCAGCGGGGAGGAAGGGAGUAAAGUUAAUACCUUUGCUCAUUGACGCUACCCGCAGAAGAAGCACCGGCUAACUCCGU
rnacentral:rRNA from 1 species